GACGUAGGGCGCGAGCGUUGUCCGGAUUUAUUGGGCGUAAAGAGCUCGUAGGCGGCUUGUUGCGUCGACCGUGAAAACCCGGGGCUCAACUUCGGGCUUGCGGUCGAUACGGGCGGGCUAGAGUUCGGUAGGGGAGACUGGAAUUCCUGGUGUAGCGGUGAAAUGCGCAGAUAUCAGGAGGAACACCGGCGGCGAAGGCGGGUCUCUGGGCCGAUACUGACGCUGAGGAGCGAAAGCGCGGGGAGCGAACAGG
rnacentral:rRNA from 1 species